CUGAUGUAAUUAUCUACACGAUGUUAUAUAGACAUAUACUUCACAGCUUAAAAAACACAGUAUGACAAAAAUUGAUGGAAAUUAAUGAACAGAAGGUAAUUUUCAUAACCUUUGAAUAAACGAAGAAGAGACUUAAAUGACACUCAACAGAAUGAAGAAAUUUUGGUCAAUAAUACUAUUAAAGAACUUUUAUCCAUGGUUAAUUGAUGUUGGUUUUAUUUUGAAGGUUCAGUAACAAAUGAAUAUAAAAUAUCCUUUCAUUGGG
rnacentral:lncRNA from 1 species